AUGACUAACUGUUGGCAUUCCCUGGAGCCUCUGGCAUGCCAAAUCACACUGGUUCUCAAAAAACUUUCUUCAGGUUUCAUAUUCCUCCCUCUUCCAUCUCUUUUCUCUGAACUUGAAGGAGCCAUUCCUUCUCCUCUCCCAUGGAUGUCCUCCAGAACUCUCUUCCGAUCAGUUGCAUUGAUCCUUUUACCACUAUAUCUUUGUUGCUUUAAAAUCUAUUUUAUCCGAUACGAGAAUUGCAACUCCUGCUUUUUAUUUAUUUAUUAUUUAUUUUUGCUCUCCAUUUGGUUGGUAAAUCUUUCUCCAUCCCUUUGUUUUGAGUCUUUGUGUAUCCUUGCAUGUGAAACAGGUGUGGAUGUAACAUGCCGUUGGGUUUUGGCUGUGUCUUUUGAUUGGGGGAUUUAGUCAAUUUAUAUUUAGGGUUACUGCCAUUUGAUGUUGACCGGCUGCUUUAUCCAUUCGUUGGUGUAAAUUCUUCUUUAUGUUGGUGCUCUUUACUUUUUGGUGUAUUUUUAGAAAGGCUAAUACUGGUUGUUUCUUUCUGUGUGUAAUGCUUCUUUCAGAAGCUCUUGUAAAGCAGGCCUGGUGGUAAUAAAAUCUCUGAGUUCUUGCUUGUUCAUAAAAGAUUUUAUUUUUCCUUCAGUUGUGAAGCUUAGUUUGGCUGGAUAUGAAAUUCUGGGCUGAAGGUUCUGUUCUUUGAGGAUGUUGAAUAUUGGCCCCCACUAUCUUCUGGCUUGUAGAGUUUCUGCUGAGAGAUCUGCUGUAAGUCUGAUAGGCUUGCCUUUGUGGGUAACCUGACCUCUCUCUCUGGCUGCCCUUAGUAUUUUCUCCUUCGUUUCAACGCUGGUGAAUCUAACGAUUAUGUGCCUUGGGGUUGCUCUUCUUGAGGAAUAUCUUUGUGGUGUUCUCUGUAUUACCUGGGGUUGAAUGUUGACCUGCUUUGCUAGUUUAGGAAAAUUUUCCUGAAUAAUAUCCUGAAGGGUAUUUUCCAGCUUGGAUUCAUUCUCUCCGUCGCAUUCAGGUACACCUAUAAAACGUAAAUUAGGUCUUUUCACAUAGUCCCACAUAUCUUGGAGACUUUGCUCAUUCCUUUUUAUCCUUUUUUCUCUAAUCUUUUCUUCGCAUUUUAUUUCAUUAAGUUGGACUUUGACCUCUGAUAUCCCUUCUUCUGCUUGAAUAAUUCGAGUGUUUAAACCUGUGCAUACUUCUUGGAGUUCCUGUAUUGUAUUCUUCAGUUCCAUUAUUUCACUCAUACUCCUCUCUAAGUUGUCUAUUCUCAAUAGGAUUUCAUCAAAUCUUUUUUCAAAGUUCCUAGUUUCUUUACAUUGGGCUACAACAUGUUCUUUUAACUCACCGAAGUUUCUUAUUAUCCAUUCCUUGAAGAGUGAUUCUGUCAUUGGGAUGCGCUCGUUCUCCGUCAAGCCUUGUUCCAUUGUUGAUGUGGAACUGUGAUCAUCUUUAGAGGGAGAGGCGUUCUGACUUUGAGUAUUCUCAGCUUUUUUACGCUGGUUUCUUCCCGUCAUUGUAAAUUUAUCCUUCUGUCGUCUUUGAAAUUACCAACUUUCAGAUUAGGUCUCUUGAGUGGACAUCUAGGUUGUUAGUUCCCAGGGCCAGAGCAGCGGCGUUAAGACUGAUGGUGCUUUUCUGCCCAGGAUUCUCCUGUCUGGCUUCCUUCUUGUGUCCCUAAUGGGCGACUCUGCCUUCCCGGGGCUCCAAACCUCGGUCAGAAGGGGAACCGGUCCCAUUUACUCUGCGCCGAGCGCUGCCACUCCGAGGUGCCAUCACAGCUGCUGUGCCGGGCUCUGGUGUCCUGCUGGGGACCGGUGCAUGUCCUCCGAACCUGUUUACUCUGCUCCGAGAGCUGCCUCGCCGAGGUGCCGGAGGAACCACUGCGCUGGCCACGAGAGUCGCGCUGGCCACCCGUGUGUUUCCUACACUGGGGGAUCUUCUGCUCCGUGAGCGACCAGGAUUUGUCUGAAAGUGUGGCAUCCUCUAGUUCUCUGCGCUUUCCCUGAGAGCUGCAAUCCUGGGAUGUUAGCGAUCGGCCAUCUUGGAUCGUUCUCGCUUGCUAAUAUUUUAAGUACUAACAAGUAAAGAACAUUAAAAAAAAAAAAAAAAAAACCUUAAAUCUUUGAAUGUUUUCCUUUUCCCUUUCAGUGUCUCUGUAGAUUUUCACUCGGGGCCCUGAAUAUAAGCAAAGGAAAAUUUAAACAGAAAAAAAAAAAAA
rnacentral:lncRNA from 1 species